GGACGUCCAAAUUUGGUGUUCCACCUCUUUUCUAUAAUCUCGAUCACUUUGCUAGCAAAAUUACACUUCUCCCCAAUAGCUGAUUUCGCCCUCUCAAUACCUUCAUAAAGGAUACCCAUGGUAGCUUUCUUAUUAGCAUCCACCAUUCUUAACACCGUGACCAAAGGGGCAGUGGCCUCUACAACACUGGAACAUCGAGACCAGAACAACCUAUUUGAGAUUAUGUUAUCCACUUUUAUACCGGUACUGGACUUCGAGAGGCGGUCAUUUAAC
rnacentral:lncRNA from 1 species